GACGAACGCUGGCGGCGUGCUUAACACAUGCAAGUCGAACGGAAAGGCCCUGCUUUUGUGGGGUGCUCGAGUGGCGAACGGGUGAGUAACACGUGAGUAACCUGCCCUUGACUUUGGGAUAACUUCAGGAAACUGGGGCUAAUACCGGAUAGUAGCUCCUGCUGCAUGUUGGGGGUUGGAAAGUUUCGGCGGUUGGGGAUGGACUCGCGGCUUAUCAGCUUGUUGGUGGGGUAGUGGCUUACCAAGGCUUUGACGGGUAGCCGGCCUGAGAGGGUGACCGGCCACAUUGGGACUGAGAGACGGCCAAGACUGCUACGGGAGGCAGCGGUGGGGAAUAUUGCACAAUGGGCGGAAGCCUGAUGCAGCAACGCCGGGUGCGGGAUGAAGGACUUCGGGUUGUACACCGCUUUCGCCUGUGACGAAGCGUGAGUGACGGUAAUGAGUAAAGAAGCACCGGCUAACUACGUG
rnacentral:rRNA from 1 species